rnacentral:SRP_RNA from 1 species
GCCGGGCCUGUAGUCCCAGCUACUCGGGAGGCUGAGGCAGGACGAUCGCUUGAGUCCAGGAGUUCUGGGCUGUAGUGCGCUAUGCCGAUCGGGUGUCCGCACUAAGUUCAGCACCAUAUGGUGACCUCCUGGGAGUGGGGGACCACCAGGUUGCCUAAGGAGGGGUGAACUGGCCCGGGUCAGAAACGGAGCAGGUCAAAACUCCCAUGCUGACCAAAAGCAGUUCUUCUCAAACUCGUUUAGGAACCCCCAGGUGAUCUUGUUAAAUGUGUUUUCUGACUGA